rnacentral:tRNA from 1 species
UCGGGGAUCGUCCAACGGCAAGACGCCAGCUUUUGGAGCUGGUCAUCGGGGUUCGAAUCCCUGUCCCCGAGCCC